AGUGAACGCUGGCGGUAGGCCUAACACAUGCAAGUCGAACGGCAGCACAGUAAGAGCUUGCUCUUACGGGUGGCGAGUGGCGGACGGGUGAGGAAUACAUCGGAAUCUACUUUUUCGUGGGGGAUAACGUAGGGAAACUUACGCUAAUACCGCAUACGACCUACGGGUGAAAGCAGGGGAUCUUCGGACCUUGCGCGAUUGAAUGAGCCGAUGUCGGAUUAGCUAGUUGGCGGGGUAAAGGCCCACCAAGGCGACGAUCCGUAGCUGGUCUGAGAGGAUGAUCGGCCACACUGGAACUGAGACACGGUCCAGACUCCUACGGGAGGCAGCAGUGGGGAAUAUUGGACAAUGGGCGCAAGCCUGAUCCAGCCAUACCGCGUGAGUGAAGAAGGCCUUCGGGUUGUAAAGCCCUUUUGUUGGGAAAGAAAAGCAGCAGAUUAAUACCCCGCUGUUCUGACGGUACCCAAAGAAUAAGCACCGGCUAACUUCGUG
rnacentral:rRNA from 1 species